rnacentral:misc_RNA from 1 species
CCAUAGCCCCGAUAGUAACGGUUACCCCACAGCAAGAGCUGGGUAAAGCUUUGGCGCGAGGAGUAAUAGUGGAUAGCGGGAAAUAGC